rnacentral:lncRNA from 1 species
CUAAGGGAAUUCUGACACCCCAGCCGGCCACUCUGGUGACAGAGGUGGAGGUGGCAGAACAGAGCGCCUUGGAUGAUGUGGCAGAGAGCAGAGAUCAUUGUCUCUAGGAUCAUCCCAAAUCGGGGCAUCUGAGGAAGAUGUAUCCCUGAGAAAGUAAACUGGCGGAACCUCAUAGGCUCGAGGGAAAAAUGGUCCUUUUCUCUUAAAGGCUGCUAUCACAGAGAUGGAAAAGAAAGAAUACCAGAGUGUUUAAGACACUCAGCAAGAGAUGAACCAGAUAGAUUGUUCGGUCUCUUCACGGGAUUCUUGGGAGAAGAUGCUGUUUUUAAAGCGCUGGAUACCCGGCCCACGAAUGAUUACCAGAACUUACGAGUUGAGAGGUGGGAGUCCAAUGACUGGACUGUUACUAGGAGAGGAUUGGAUGGCUGACAAUGGCUUUUUCUGA